rnacentral:rRNA from 1 species
UACGUAGGGGGCAAGCGUUGUCCGGAAUCAUUGGGCGUAAAGAGCGCGUAGGCGGUCCGGUAAGUCCGCUCUGAAAGUCCGGGGCUCAACCCCGGGAGGCGGGCGGAUACUGUCGGGCUAGAGUCCGGAAGAGGCGAGUGGAAUUCCUGGUGUAGCGGUGAAAUGCGCAGAUAUCAGGAGGAACACCGAUGGCGAAGGCAGCUCGCUGGGACGGUACUGACGCUGAGGCACGAAAGCGUGGGGAGCAAACAGG